UUGCAGCUUUCUCUGUCUUUCUUAAAUCAAAUCAAAAUCCAUUUUAUUCUCUUUAUAAGUACGUUGCUAGUUGUUGUUAAAUAUGUCGCCAACUAUCGUUAAGUCCAUUGCCAGCUCUCCCUACCUAAUUUUCUGGAUCUCUCAUCCAAUAACUGCCAUGUCGAAUUCUUGAUUGGGGAUAGCUUCUACGUAAUGGCGAUAGCUGAAGAAAUCAAUUUUGGAAGAAUCUAAUGGUAAAUCAAAACCCAUUUCUUAGGGUGAAUUUGGUGAGAGAAUGAAAUUGGAAAUCGAUUGAAGAAGAAGCUCGUUAAGGAAGGUAAAGGUUUGGAUACCCCUAAAUCUGGUAAUGAAUUUUAUUGAAGGUAAUUGAUUUGCAUAUUUUUUUUUAUUAUUAUUUAAACUGCCAAUAAAUCUGAGCUUUGUUUAUGUUUAUUUGGUUUUUUGCUCGUAAUGGUAUCUCAAAAAUAUGCUUUGAGGAAAAAUUUUGCUGUUCUCUUCCUUGUGUCUCUGUUCAUGUUUGUACAUGAGUGAAGUUUGUCAUUUUACCAAAACAAGGAUAUGCCUGCUUGAGAGGUAUAUCACCAAAGUAGAGUAUUGUUCACAGUUUCUCUGCAUUCUUUAAAGUUGGUUGUUUAGACUUGUGAAUUUGAUCAAUCUUUCCAAUUUUAUUCUUUUUCCUAUGGUAUGUGAAUAUUUGAAAAAAAUGUUUGACUGAUCUGUAUCCUAUAGUCCAAAUGGUAUAAAACAAAGUGCUGCCCAGAUUUCAUUGCAUAUAUAGUAGUAUUCCUGAUUAUCGUUCAUUGUAUAAGUUACUAGUUUCAUAUAAUGAUGUGAACAAAAUAAGUUAGGUUAAAGAGGAACAAGACAAAUCAAUUUCUUUCUAUAAUGGUACUGAUUGUGGAUUUUAUAGUGGCUUAAUUGUAUCAAUCUAUUUUGUUAGAUUUCGGGUCUUUACGAAUGUCGUUAUAUAAGUUACUAAUAUCGUUAUGUCUUUAUGAAUCAAUAUGGUACAGAGGUGAAACUUUGUUUCCUUAAAGUCUGACUAAUUUCCAAAGGAUACAAUUGGAUAUAAGGUCUAAGUACAAUCAUAUUUUUCUCUGGUGGCUAAUGUGUCUUUAUUUGUAUCCUUAUCUCUGUGGUAGUAAUAUUUCGAUGGUCCUUUUGUCAAUUAGUAAAAAGAUGUUUAUAAAUUUUGAGGAAGUUAAAUUAAGUACUCAAUGUCGAAUAUGCCAAUCUAUUUAUAGCCUCAAUCUCCAAGGGCAUGGUUUGGCUGUUCUAGCUCAUAUUUCAAAAUGAAGCAAAUCAUUAAGUUUUCUACAACAUUCUUCUUUCUUUCUUUCUUUCUUUCUUUUGAUAAUUGAAAAAUCUUCAAGGGACAUUAUGCACAGUUCGAAACUCAGUGGUUAAUGGGCCCGCCACUUUAUCCUUCUCCAAUUAAAUACCAAGAUUUUCUUUAUGGUAGGGUUCAAACUCGUGACGUGAACCUAUUCCACACAUGACAAAUUAUUCUCUUGCCACUAGAUCAAAGCUCAAAAUUUCCUAGUUGCUUAUGUUCAUGGAACUAUCAUUACAUGUGAUGAUCAUAAAGGGUUGAUCAAUUAAUAGCACCCUGUCAUUUUUAAAGCAACUAAAUACCUCUUAGCAUUAAAGGCGACAAAAUCUAGUAGUGGUACUUUCAUUACAGAAAAAAUAUACUGGAGAUUGCUAAAAGAAUUCUGGUAUGUUGGAACUGGACUUGUUCACCCUUCUAUAUAAUGAAUCUUUUUAAAUGUCCUAGGACUAUAUAGGAGACUUUUUCACAGAAUCAACAUUCUAAAAAUCACACAACCUUAUAUCAUUCAUUGUUAGCAUGGUAAUCCAGAUUUUGCAAGCUUCUUGUAAUAGCUGUUGGGAUGUUUCAACGUGCAUUCUUAGGUGUAUCAAUUGCCAUGAUAAGAGUUUUUUAAAAGAUAGAUGAAAUGUAUCAAUUUUUUGGGUAUUUCACUGUAGGCUAGCAGAAACUCCCUUGGAUAGACAAUCCAUCUUAUGAGUCUCUUUAGAAAAGUAAAAAACAAAGAUGUGAUGACCAAACCAAGUGUGAACCUAGAGUAUCGAGCCGUGGCCUUAACACGUGAGCAAAUAUGAAAAAUUAUUUCUUCAAAAGCUAAAAUCUAAUGAUAAACUAAUACAAUUAACCCACUAUAAAAUCCACGUUUCAUCAAUGAAAGAGAAAUAAAUUGCUAACAAAAUCUAUUUGGGUUAAAAUCCUCAUUUUUGGAAGUUGUAUCCCCUCCCCAAAUUAUAUUUGAUUUUAUUCCACAGGUCCUUGGUUUUUAUGUGCCUAGCUGAUACUAGAGACAUACAUGUACUGCCUAUUUACUAGCAUCUGAGGAUGUAAUAUGCUAUUGUGGUAGCCCCUACGAUGGAUAGUUUCUUGGAAUAGAACCUUUCCAUUGACUGGUAUAGGGUUUUAUUAAGACUGGGAUGUAGCAUGAUAUAUUGACUAAGUUUUUGAAGAUGAAACUUCAAACUUUUCUUAGUUUUGAGUAGUGGAUUCUUUCAAGUUUAUUUUAGACUGUUAGGAGAGCUUACACGAUAUGGUUAUUAUUGAGUAGCAUAGUGUAGAAUUGGUAACUUUCCAACUGCAGUAAGGUGGUAAGCACGGGUGGAGGGCUAAUAUGAAAUUUCAAUCGCCAACUUUACAUUGGUUGACUUGGACUUAGUUCCAUACUUUGUUCUCAAUCCUAUAUGCAGUUUUCAGAUAGUUACUUGGCCAUGGUCGUGAUGAAGGAUUGCCCAAAGUUAUCCUUGGAAUUGCUGAUGAGCUCGAUGAACAAAAGAGGUCAUGUUAGAUCGCCACAUGUCUUGUACUUGAAGAUGAUUACUUGGAUAUGGUUGUGAUGAAGGAUAGCCCAAAGUUAUCCUUGGCAAUGCUAAUGAACUCGAUGAACAAAAAAGGUCAUAUUAUCACCACACGUCUUGUAAUUGAAGGUAGAUUUAUUGUCUUAGCCUUUUAAGUCGGAUCUAAUAUGCAAGUUCUAGUCUCACUUUUAGAAAAAAAAAUAUUUUGGAACAAUUCUUGAAAAGCAUUUUGUUGUUGCUUGGUAUAAUAAGACCUAAAUUUUCCUGUUAAUCAUUUUGAAAGUUUCUAAAAUUCAAUGUUUCUUUGUCUCCCUGCUUGUCUAGCAGUGCAAUCGGACUCUAGUGCAGUUCCUCGACCAAAUAGGUUUUGGUUUUGUGGUAGCUCAAUUGCACAUUGGCAUCCCUUUGCCUGAACAAUCAGCAAUACAAUAGUUUAAUCCCCUAACGUUAACCCCAUGCUUCUUCAUAUUUAAUGUGUUAAAAUUAGAAAUAAGUUCUUACGUAAUAAGUCAAACUUUUGAAAUUAGAGACUAGUUGCAUGAAUUUAAUAGGAUUUAACCCAAGGCUCCUCAUUUAUUGAAAACAACAACAAGUAAAGGCUUUUGAUUUAGAGCCUGGUCGACGAGCAGAUGAUCCCAACAAGGAAGGGAUUAUUGAUGUAGACAAGGAGGUCCUUGCUGGAGGUAAAGGAACUUACAAGUGUGAUCAGAAUACAUUGAUGGCCUAUGACAAACUCCAUAUUAGAGUAGAUCAAGUGUUGGGUACUAUAUUUUUGCCUAUCAGCUCUUAACAUUUAUGAGGUUCGAUGUAUUUACAUACAUAAAGAGAAACUAAUCCUGAUUGGUGGAUUCUGUUUAGAUUAAUGUUAGAUUAUUACUGAAUGAUUUUUGUUUUGUGAUGUGUAUAUAUUGUGUUAUAGUUUAUUAUGUAUGUAAAUAAAUUUUUACAUUAAUACGAGUGACUAUUUAUAUAAA